CGUUAUUGGUAGCAGAAAAUUUAUUAGGGAUAAGCUUAAUAUCUUAUAUCUAUAUAAGUAUGGAAGUAUAGCUAAGGAAGGAUUAAUAGUGUCUUUAUGUUUUGUAACUUAGUUAAGUUACAUUUAUAUUAGUAAGUUAUACAAGGGUAUAUUGAAAUUUUUUUUGUUAGUAAUAAUGGUAGAAUUAGUAGAUUAAGUUUAGUACAUAAUUUAGAUGAGUUAUAUGAGGUAUGUUAACUAUGUAAAUUUAGGUGAGGAACUCGGCAAAAAUUUUUCUUAACUGUUUAUCAAAAACAUUUCUUUAAGCUAGGAUUUAAAGUAUAUUCUGCCCCCUGAUUAAUCUAUUAAAGGGCCGCAGUAGCCUGACUGUGCUAAGGUAGCAUAAUCAUUAGGUUCUUAAUUGGGAUCUGGAAUGAAGGAAUGAAUAGGGAGUAGCUGUCUAUCUAUAUAGUUUGAAUUUAAAUUUUUAGUAAGAAUGCUAGAAUGAACUAGUGGGACGAUAAGACCCUAUAAAGCUUUACUAAUUUUUAGUAAAAAUUUUUACUACUUUUAUGAAAAAGAUUAGUUUCACUGGGGCGGUGGCUAGUUAACUUAGUUAGUUUUAUUUUUCUUUGGAUCCAUCUUUGGUGAAGUAAGAUUAAGUUACUUUAGGGAUAACAGCAUAAUAUACCUAUGGAGUUCUAAUCGAAGGGUAUGGUUGUGACCUCGAUGUUGAAUUAACCUUAUUUUAAGGCGAAGAAGCUUUAAGAGUUAGUCUGUUCGACUAUUAAAGGGUUACGUGAUUUGAGUUCAAACCGGUGUGAGCCAGGUUGGUUUCUAUCUAUUGGGUUUAGAAAGCCUUUUAGUACGAAAGGACCAAAGGCUCUAGAGUUUCUAUCUAAGGAUUUUAUUGACCUAUUUUAGGCAUC
rnacentral:rRNA from 1 species